rnacentral:rRNA from 1 species
AGAGUUUGAUCCUGGCUCAGGAUGAACGCUGGCGGCGUGCCUAACACAUGCAAGUCGAACGAGAUGCGUAUCGGAAAGCUUCGGCCGGAAGAUGCGUUAUCUAGUGGCGGACGGGUGAGUAACACGUGGGUAACCUGCCUUAUGGAGGGGGAUAACAGAGAGAAAUCACUGCUAAUACCGCAUAAGCACACAUUGCCGCAUGGCAGAGUGUGAAAAGAUUUAUCGCCAUAAGAUGGACCCGCGUCUGAUUAGCCAGUUGGCAGGGUAAAAGCCUACCAAAGCAACGAUCAGUAGCCGAUCUGAGAGGAUGACCGGCCACAUUGGGACUGAGACACGGCCCAAACUCCUACGGGAGGCAGCAGUGGGGAAUAUUGCACAAUGGGGGAAACCCUGAUGCAGCGACGCCGCGUGAGUGAAGAAGUAUUUCGGUAUGUAAAGCUCUAUCAGCAGGGAAGAUAAUGACAGUACCUGACUAAGAAGCCCCGGCUAACUACGUGCCAGCAGCCGCGGU